CGGGAAAAGGAUUGGCUCUGAGGGCUGGGUCUAGGGGUCUGUGUCUAGAAAUCUUGGGCUGUCGGCAGGCUGCCCGCGCUUCAUUCGAGGCAACGGCGGACCGCUGCGUGCUCAGACGGACGGAUGCAGAAAGCUUCGGCGCUCCCUAGGCAACGAACAGCCAACUCAGAACUGGUACGGACAAGGGGUAUCCGACUGUUUAAUUAAAACUAAGCAUUGUGAUGGUCCCAAA
rnacentral:rRNA from 18 species